rnacentral:lncRNA from 1 species
GUGUGAUUUACCACUGGACUACAUUCUCAGUCCAUUUUAAUUUUUAUUUUUCAGACAGGGUCUCACUAAGAUGUGAAGGUUAGCUUUCAACUUGUGAUCCUUCGGUCUUGGUCUCCCAAGUGGCUGGGAUUACAGGUGUGAGCCGAUGUACCUGGCAUUUCAUUUUAUUUCACUGGUUCAGUGGUUUGUUUUCCAAUUACCUCCCUUUUCCUCAUCAAUAUUUGCCUUCAGUAUAUAAUCUUUCCUUCAAUUUGUCCUAUUUCAUCUAAUGCAGUUACAUUGAACAAAGUAGGAUCAUGAUGAGAACAAAAAUUCCAAGAGGUGCGUGGUGCACAACUAUAAUAACAGCUACUCAGGAGACUGAAGCAGGAGGAUCAGAAGUUUGAGGCCAGCCUCAGCAAUUUAAAGAGACCCUGACUCAGAAAAUGAAAAAGGUUGGUGAUGUAGCUCAGUGGUAGAGUGCUCCUGAGUUUAAUCCCUAGUACCUAAAAAGUAAAGAAAAUAAUAGAGAAAACACAAGAAUUUCUCUUGGGGAAUCACAGAAACCCCAAGUUCCACAUGUUAAAAACUAAAUUCAUCAACCAGAAUCCAGCCUGUAUUCCCCAUUUAAGGACACCCAAUGCCAAGACCAAAAACCCAGAAGGCUUCCUACUUCCCUUCUUUUGGUCUCUGUCCUUCCUGCUGUGAAGUCUUAUCUGCUGGGCCCUAUAAAGACCAGUUGGAUUGGGGCAGUUUUCUCUGUCCUCACUUCUGCUACCUCUGUUUGGUCCCAAUGAAAUUUUAAAUUCUCUUACUGAAGAACUGUUCACUCUUCAUUGUUCUCCUUGCAUACAGUCUUGCUCACCUUCACACCCUUCUCCACUUCCAGUCCGAACAAUCUGUUUUAUAUUCAGAUCCAGCAAAAAUCAGUUUUUGCUUGAAAGCCUUAUAUAAUGCCUCAAAUCCCUGACAUGCUAUUUGUGGCCUUUCAUUGUCUAGAUUCUGUUUAUGUUAUCAGCAUAAUAUCAUAACACCCCUUCUCUAACUCUUACUUCAGUGACACUGAAUGAUUCCUGAGCCUCUAACAUGACCUUUGUAUUUGGCCCUUAGGUUUUUGCAUAUUGUGACCCCUCUCAAUGGAACAUUCUUUCAUCACUCUCCUCUCCUGGCCAACUUGUAUAUCUAGGUUCCCUAUAGAUGACAAACCCUUCCUGAACAUCCUCUUAAUUAUCUUUCCAAAUAUAAUGUUGUAGUUACUUCUCAGAAUACCUAUAUCAUGCUGACAUGAUCUCUAUAUCUAUUUUACCUUGAACUGUGCAAUUCUCACAGAGAUUAUAUCUUAUUUGCUGCUUAUCCUCAGCACCUGUUACAGAUAGUGACAUUGCCUUGUAUCUGUUUGCUAAGUGGAUGAAUGACAAGUCCUUUGUCAUACAUUCCUUGAUUCUCUCAGCAUAAUUGCAGUAGAACAGAUGACUAUCUCAUGGGGUGAUAUAAGUAUCAUUUUUUUAAAUGAAUGGAUUAAUUAGAUAACAUCUUUAAACUGCUCUUAGGGCUUGGAGAGAAAUACAUUUACUGUCAUUGAACAUUUGGAAGUAAACACUAUGACAUCAGCUUUGUCUAACCCUUUUCAAGCUACCAGUCUUCAUCUAUCACUUUCAAGAAUUUCCACAUGACUAAAAAAAUCUCUUUUCUAUAUGCUUUAAUUCUCUAGUUGCUCAGUUGGAGGAAAAAAAAAUGUUUCUUGUAUUUUGGGCGGUAUAUAUGAUGAUCUUCAUAGUUAUUCUAAGGCAUAUUACAUUAGGAUAAACUUGUUUCAACUAUUUAAAUUUAAAUCCAAAAACUCAUUUGUUUUCUCUCAGAAAUCUAUUUGAAAUCUUUCAGCAAUCCAGUUAUUUAAACAAAAAACUUUCCAAAAGCAAUAUUGUCGUCUAAUGCCCUAAUUAACCUCUACAAACUGUAUUUGUAUUCCCUCUGCAGUGAUUUCAAAAUCUCUAUGGUCCCUGGAAUGCUUUUUAUAUCAAUGGGAGAGCUGGGUUCUACUGAAAGGUUUGGAUUUAUUGUCUAAGUUUUGCUUAUCCAAUUCUUCCAUGGUACUAUAUCCAUUGUUAAAAGCAAACAUUUUCUUUUCUAUAAUCUAUUCGUUGUUCUUUAAGAUUUGUUCUACUUGUUUUCUAAUAGCAAAUCAUUACUGUUUGAGGGAAUUUUGGUUGAAUUUCCCACAUUUAAAAAUUACUCUGAAAAUCAUAUUGUCAGACUAAAAUUUGGCAUAGAAAUCAGCACAAUAAGACUUUUAACAUCUAUGAGUCCUGCCUCCUUCAUUAGUUAGAUCAACUCUGACUGAACACAAGAAUAAUGGCAGGAAGAAGCUGGGCCUAGGCAAGCUCCCUUCCCAAACUCACACUCAACUUAAGUAGUUUUACUUUUAUUUGUUGCAUAUGUUGGACAGCUGAGUAAAGACUUCAUUUUGGAAAAAAAAUUAAUGGAAAACUUUGCUACAAAAUAUUUUAAGAUCUUUUACCUUAG